GACGAACGCUGGCGGCGUGCUUAACACAUGCAAGUCGAACGGUAAGGCCCUUCGGGGUACACGAGUGGCGAACGGGUGAGUAACACGUGGGUGAUCUGCCCUGCACUUCGGGAUAAGCCUGGGAAACUGGGUCUAAUACCGGAUAGGACCCUGGGAUGCAUGUCCUGGGGUGGAAAGCUUUUGCGGUGUGGGAUGGGCCCGCGGCCUAUCAGCUUGUUGGUGGGGUGAUGGCCUAGCAAGGCGACGACGGGUAGCCGGCCUGAGGGGGUGACCGGCCAGGCUGGGACUGGUAUACGGCCGAGAGUCCUACGGGAGGCAGCAGUGGGGAAUAUUACACAAUGGGCGCAAGCCUGGUGCAGCGACGCCGCGUGAGGGAUGGCGGCCUUCGGGUUGUAAACCUCUUUCAGCACCGACGAAGCGCAAGUGACGGUAGGCGCAGAAGAAGGACCGGCCAACUACGUGCCAGCCGCCGCGGUAA
rnacentral:rRNA from 1 species